CCGUGCUAGGCGGGAGGCUGGCGGUCUCCUCUUCUCGAAACCCGCCAUACGCGAGGCUGAAAGACACCAUGAGGUCGGGAAGACGGGGGCCCCUGCGCUAGUGGGUAGACGAUGAAGAUCGGGUCUCGACUCGCAGUACUCCGCCAACCCCGCCAGGUCCGGAAGGAAGCAACGGUACACGGAAGUGACUGCGGUGUUGAGAGAGCCUGGUUGGAGUCUGCUCUCUCCCGCAGUCCUCGUCGUCCUGAACAAAGGUGCCGCACGG
rnacentral:SRP_RNA from 1 species